UAGCUGUUUCUGCUUCUUUCGUUAUAAGAUAAAUUCUCCUGGAGACAACCUCUCCCACUAAUUGUGUGUUAGCCAUGCAUUUUUAUCUUGAGAGCUGACGCACUGGGCUCUCAAGUGGUGUGGAAAGCAGCCUGUUACAGUGCAGGAUUCAUAAAAGGGCUGGUAUGGUGUGUGAAAGAUAUCUGUGUGCUUAGGCAGGAAACUUUGAUCUACAGAAAAGCCAGAAGACAUCUAGCACACCAGAGUACGGGUGAUCUUCAAAGUGAGCAGUAUACACUCUGGAGCGAUUCUACAAAACCCUUUGGGACAAAUAGCAGAAGAAUCCACAAACCUGCUCUUCUCU